ensembl:lncRNA
GAAAGACCAGCGUGUCUCUGGGCACAUGUAGAGUACCGAGGCAGCCCGCCUCUCGGCAUCAAUCUUAAGAAAUGGACCAAGAUCCUCCGAUCCAAAGCCAGAUGCUGGAAGACGACCCAAAGGGAGCAGCAGAUGCUUUAACAAUGGCCGCAGCUACAGAAUCGGACGCAGCGGCUCCAGACCCAGAUUCCACUGUCAACCAGCCUGCAGCUUCUGCCAGGCCUCGACGGCCACAGAGAAGUGCCAGAGUGGAGGGCUCUGUGGACAUCUCUGAGCCCAAAGCUGAGCCCAAAGCUGAGCCCACUCUUGUGGCAAACCAGGAGGAGUGCGACACCGAUGGCCCUGCGGCAAGUCGCCCCAAACCUUCUCGCUCCGCAGCAUUCAAACCCACAGGAGAGCG